GAUUUGAUCUAACCAAAGAUGCUUGAUUAAAGAUAUUGCCGUUGAUGUUUUUUCUGGUAAAAAAAAGAAGAGAAUUAAUAUUAACUGUAAAAAACACAAAAAAAAACGGAAAAA
rnacentral:sRNA from 1 species